GCCGGCCGCAGCUGUAGCCGCGGUGCUCGCCGCCACGCCCGCUGACUAUGCGCACGCGCAGACCGGCUACGCGCUCACUAUAGGAUCUGUCAUGGCGGACAGUUUACAUGUGCCUCAUACAGAGUGGCAGGAGGCGACAACUGGUGUUAGUAGAA